UCCCUGGAGGACUAGUGGUUAGGCCACAGCGCUCUCGCUGCUGCGGCCCGGGUUCAGUUCCUGGCCAGGGAA
rnacentral:tRNA from 1 species